rnacentral:rRNA from 1 species
UACAGAGGGGGCAAGCGUUGUUCGGAAUUACUGGGCGUAAAGGGCGCGUAGGCGGCCUGUUAAGUCGAACGUGAAAUCCCCGGGCUCAACCCGGGAACUGCGUCCGAUACUGGCAGGCUUGAAUUCGGGAGAGGGAUGCGGAAUUCCAGGUGUAGCGGUGAAAUGCGUAGAUAUCUGGAGGAACACCGGUGGCGAAGGCGAGCCCCUGGACAAAACCUGACACUGAGGCACGAAAGCUAGGGGAGCAAACAGG